rnacentral:misc_RNA from 1 species
UCAUUUCCGAAGGCUUCUCAACCACCGUCGGCCGCGGCUUGGUGCGCACGGGACUCUUUUUUAUGCCAGCCGCAGGACAAGCCCACGGGAGACCAAUAUCCGCACCGCAAGCACCCGAGCCACCACGAGGGGGUUCGGGGUUGCAGGGCGACGGAGCGCGUGACGCCCAGGCAGACGUGCCCUCGGCCUAAUGGCUUCGGGCGCAACUUGCGUUCAAAGACUCGAUGGUUCACGGGAUUCUGCAAUUCACACCAAGUAUCGCAUUUCGCUGCGUUCUUCAUCGAUGCCGAAUACGUAAC